AACAAAACAAUAAAAGAGAAACAUAAAAUAUUGCUAAAAGACUAAAUUUUAUCGAUGGUAUUAAUACUCGUGAAUAUAUUCAAUAUGAAAAAGAAAGAAUUAUACAAAAAUACAUCAUCAACAACAACAACAACAACAACAACAACAACAACAACCAUCUUCAGUUACACAAAAAAAAAUUAGACAAUAUUUGAAAUUUUGAAGGUUUCGGAUCAAAUUUACGUGACUAUUAGUGUUGUUGUAAUAUUUAAAUUUGUGUAAUAGUUAUGUCUUCAUGUAAUUUUAAAAAAGUUUUUUUUGUUAAGUUUUUUGUAUAUUUUUUUUUAUAUAAAUCUAGUUUUAAAUAUUUAAAAUCUUAUUUUGAAGUUUUAUUUAAUUUUAUGUAUAAACUUAAAUGUUGUAAACGAAACUUAAAAUAUUUAUGAGAUAUAAUUUUUAUAAGGAUUAAAAAAAAUAAACAAGAAAAUAUUUAUGAAUAAUAAAUAUGAUGUGUAAUUGUAGAGUAGUGAAGUUUUGAAGUUUUGAAGUAGUGAAACUUCAAAUAUAGAGUUUUUGAAGUUUGAAGUUUGAAGUUUCAUUUUAAAGAGGAAAAAACUUCAUAUUUAAAGUUAUAGAAUGUCUUUUAGAGAUGCUCUUAGUCUAACUGUUUAAGAAAUUUGAAGUUAAGAUGCAACAUUUGCAUCGCCAUUUCACAUUUCCCAAAACUCGAAUAACCUUUAAUAAUAUACAUUGAUUCAUGUUUACUUGAUUAUACAGUAUACAUAUAAAUGGACAACUCAUAAAAACUUUAGUUUCAAUACAUAUUUUUAGAUAUAAAAAUUAUUAGAAGCUAAAGUUUGUCAUUUGAUACGAUAAAGUUGGAGAAAAAUUAAGUUCACACGAUAAGGUCUUUUCGAACUGAACAGACGUUUUUUUUUUCAUGUUGCAAAUAGUCGCGAACGUUGCCUUUAGCGAGGCUGCAUCUUUUCCGGUAAGUUUCGUCGUUUGGUGUCCAAUACCACAAACGUACGUAGCACUGUCAUGCCCAUAGUCCAAAGCCAAGUCAACUUCAUACAUAAACAUAAGUGGUGCAUGUGUACUUUGUGAACUGUGAUUCAAGCUUAGAUAUAUCUUGAGCUGUGAUUAAUUAUGACUAUUUUGGUACAUUAUGACACCAGUGACAUUUGGUGAUACCCAUUUGUUGUAACGCAAUGUUAUCCUUGGUUUUUCCAAUUUCCUAUUGCAACCGGUGCAAGAAACGUAAGACAACUCAUUUUGUUGUAAGACACGGACGAUCUUAGCUUUACACAAAAAGUUAGCUUCAUGAUUCUUAGCAGAGGAGGUUAGAGGAAACAUUAGUGGGGAUUUUGAAAUUGCGGCCGUAACAGAAUAAAGAGUUAUGGACACCUGGUCAGUGGACUUGGAUAGGACGAUAGGUAGGCUAGUAUUAGACGUCAAUAAAUCUUGCAUUUGAGGAGGAUAUUAAAACUAAAAAUAAGUAUUAGUGUUGGGCAGAAGCGAUAUUCAAAUAAGCUCUAACUCGCAGUUGUAUACUGAAGCAUUAGCAUCAAGUUCGAAAAUAUGAACAUAGAGACACAUAAACGUGAGACUUUUAACUGACUUAUUCGUAAACUCUUGGAUGGCAAGAACUUUGGUGU